UACGAAGGGGGCUAGCGUUGUUCGGAAUCACUGGGCGUAAAGCGCAUGCAGGCGGAUUGUUAAGUCUGGGGUGAAAUCCCGAGGCUCAACCUCGGAACUGCCUUUGAUACUGGCGACCUUGAGUCCGGGAGAGGUGAGUGGAACUGCGAGUGUAGAGGUGAAAUUCGUAGAUAUUCGCAAGAACACCAGUGGCGAAGGCGGCUCACUGGCCCGGUACUGACGCUGAGGUGCGAAAGCGUGGGGAGCAAACAGG
rnacentral:rRNA from 1 species